CGUUAGUGCAGAGAAUAAAGCAGUAAGCGUGUGCAAACAUGCCGAUGAGUCGUCGUUGACCUAGUGCGAUUCUGCUGAAAUAGAUUAGGCGCACUAACC
rnacentral:sRNA from 1 species